AAUACCAUCUCCAUCGGCUUCACUAUCUUCCUCUCCUUAGACAUAAUACCAGUCGAAUCAUCACCAGAAAUCAUCUCUUCAUUCCAACAAUACCAUUAAAUCAACACUGCUCAUCCAAAUCCAAAUUUUACGAAUCACCAGAAUUCAUUUUCUCCAAAUCCCUAAACUUAGAAUACGAAACCCUAGAAUUUGUCAAUGGUAAACCUUUGGUUCUUCUCAAAUGAACCGGUAAGAAUCAAAAUCUUUCUUCAAUCCUUUUGAAUUCACACACAGAUGUUGUACCAGCUGAACAUCAUAAGUGGAAUCAUUUUCCAUUCGAUGUGAAUGUUGAUGAAUUCGGUGAUAUCUACGCGAGAGGUUCACAUGAUAUGAAAUGUGUUUGAUUGCAGUAUCUCGAAGCGAUUAGGUGAUUGAAUGGGUCUGGUUUUUAACCGAUUCGAACUGUUCAGUACCUGAUGAAGAGAUUGGUGGUCAUCAUGGUGCGGAGAAAUUCGCCGAGAAAUUCAAGAAGAUAUGUUGGAAUCGUCCUCCAUGAGGGUGAUGGAGUUGCAACAAAGAAAUGGGGCAUUGUAUUUGAUCUCUUUUGCAAUCUUGCAAGGUUACUUGAAUUCUGUACUAGCGAGAUCCCUGAAGCAUCCCUAUCAGGAUCUGAUAUCAAUCUUUGAAGGCUGAUAGUUUGUAUUUUCUCCAAUUCGCUAACUUCGUUAGUUGCUGAUACUUGAUAUGCACUUGGAUUUUUGUAUUCCAGGUAAGAAAGCUAAGGAUUGGUAAAGAGAAAGCUGCGUGCAUUACUCAAGAUAUGCAACAAGCGACAUGGAAAAUCAUUGAUUUAGAUGAGUUCAUCUUCUUCAUCUUUUUUAUCGUAACUAGGGUGUACGAAGUUGUGCACAUGUUAGAAAAUGACACAUAGUUGGUUAUGGAGAUUCCUCAUAGUGUAUUCGCUUGCAUUAUUUUGUGGAUACUCAAAUGGUUGUUUCCUUGUUGAUGAGACCUCGGUCACAUAGUUAUACACAUAUUCAUUCUUAAUUUGAAUAUAUAAUUGUACACAUGUUGAUUGGUAGUGUGUACAUAGUUGUACACUUGUUGAUUUUUAGUGUGUACAUAAUUGUACACCAGUUAUAUGAUGUGGUCUUCUUAUCGAAUUUGGUUGCUGGACGAUUGUGCUCUAAAACAACUUUUGAUUGAUGGCACUAUCGCUGCCUACGCGCUAGAUGGCACUGAAGGGCCACAAUGGAUAGAAGCAUCGGUAUGAGCAUUAACCUUAGGGUAUGAAUUGUAAUUUAGGAAUGAGUAGUAACAUUACUGCACGAGUAGUAACAUAGUUGUACACCUUUCGAUCGCUAAUGUGUGCAUAAUUGUACACCUAUUGGUCAUGUCCAUUUUUUUUUAUUUUGGUGAAUGGAUGUGCUGAUAACCUCCGUUCCAAGAAUUGAUUUGCUAGGAAUUUACAUGAAAAUGAAUGGAGGCUUCACCGCAUCUUUUGGAGGUGAACUCUGUUGCACUUAUUUGUAUUAUUAAAUUUAGAUGUAUAUAUAGGGUUUGCAACACCAAAUGUAUUAGUUCAUGAUUAGAGGCGCUAAUGUUUGCGAUGCAUUACAGUUGGGUAUAUAUAGGAUUUCAGACCCAUUACAUUCAUUUUAUCCAUUGUGGUAGAGCAAUGCACCUUUGACAUCAAUUGUUUUUCGCUUUAUGCAUCUAAUUUAGGGAGUCACAAGCUCAGAAUGGUAGAGCGAGCACCCAAGCCUAUCACAAUGUUUGUGGAGGUUGAUGGUUCAAAUCCAUCUGAAUUUUCAUGUUAUGUUUUUACAAUACGGAUAGGUGUGUUCAUACUAGUGCACCUGUGUAAAUCCAAUGAAAUAGAUUUGUUUGUAGGCGAAUAUAGUUGAUUUGUUCUAUUUAUUGUAUGGUGUAUACAUAUAUGUGCACCAGUGUAGUUUCCAUGAAAUAUAGAUCGGUGUGUGGGUAUGAAUGGUCAAUUUUAUCGAUGAAUGUCUUCUAGGGGUGUAAAUGUGCAUUUGUGUGAUUCCCAUGAAAAAGUAGGUUGUGUAUGGUUAUGAAUGAACAAUUUUAUGCAUGAUUGGAGGAGUGUAUAUAUUGGUAUACCCAUGAAAUUCCCAUGAAGGAGGUUAGGGUGUGCUUAUGAAUAAUCGACUUUAUGCAUGUUUUGCAGCGCUGCACAUAUUGAUGCACCAGUGUAUCUUCCACAAAAAAGUAAAAUUGUGUGUGAUUAUGAAUAAAAUGUUUCAUGCAUGUUUUGCAGGGGUGUCAUAUUGGAGGACCAGUGUAAUUCCGAUGAAAAAGUAGGUCUGGAUAUGAAUGACCAACAUGUUUUGUAGAUAAAGACAAAGUGGUGAUGUUGUUCACAAAUGACGGCAAAAUUUGUGCAUGUAUACUUUUUUGUACACGUCAAAUAAUGAAGCGAAAAUUAAAACUUUUAAAAUCUGAAAAUUAUAUA